rfam:Marinithermus hydrothermalis DSM 14884, complete genome.
GCUCGCGUAGCUCAGCAGGUAGAGCACACCCUUGGUAAGGGUGAGGUCGCCGGUUCAAGUCCGGCCGCGAGCU